GAUGAACGCUGGCGGCGUGCCUAAUACAUGCAAGUCGAGCGAACAGACGAGGAGCUUGCUCCUCUGACGUUAGCGGCGGACGGGUGAGUAACACGUGGAUAACCUACCUAUAAGACUGGGAUAACUUCGGGAAACCGGAGCUAAUACCGGAUAAUAUAUUGAACCGCAUGGUUCAAUAGUGAAAGACGGUUUUGCUGUCACUUAUAGAUGGAUCCGCGCCGCAUUAGCUAGUUGGUAAGGUAACGGCUUACCAAGGCAACGAUGCGUAGCCGACCUGAGAGGGGGAUCGGCCACACUGGAACUGAGACACGGUCCAGACUCCUACGGGAGGCAGCAGUAGGGAAUCUUCCGCAAUGGGCGAAAGCCUGACGGAGCAACGCCGCGUGAGUGAUGAAGGUCUUCGGAUCGUAAAACUCUGUUAUUAGGGAAGAACAAAUGUUUAAGUAACUAUGCACGUCUUGACGGUACCUAAUCAGAAAGCCACGGCUAACUACGUG
rnacentral:rRNA from 1 species